UCUAGAGCAAGAAGAAGUCAGGCACUACUCACAAGACUUCAUAUAACAACAGCAUUACCGGAAAGACAGUCCAUAUAUUUUAAUAACAUGUAGUGUCCGGGCGCUUGUGUGCACCUCAACUAAUUCCACCAAGUACGUUAUACCUCCCCACCAGCACAAGUACCAGGUAACUCUAUCCAAUAAGGCUUGGAUAGAGGGGAGAAAUCAUCUAG
rnacentral:misc_RNA from 1 species